UGUUCUCACUCUUGAGCUAAACGUUGCCACUUAAGGAAUCAACUUGCGCCACUUUCUGCUCCAAAAUGAAAGCACUUUUCUUUUAUCGAAUAUUUUCCCUUAAUGGCGUAAACGACGCAUAUGUAAGCACAGAAUAAUUUCGACAAUAAUCGAAUUUAUAAUUCAGUUUUCACCAGUUGCUAUUCUUAUUUUUAAAUUCUGUAGUUUCUUCAUAAUUCAGUCAGUCACAUUAAAUUUUUAUUUGUAGAUAUAGAAUUCGUAAUUCCAACAAUACAAUUUAUUAUGCCAACAAUUUAUUAUGCAACUUACCUUUGUCACCCGAUAUGGUUAUGUUUCUAACCUCUCCAACAUCCAGUAUUUUGGAACGCACCGCAACUACACCUAUAUGCUUGUUAACGAUAAAACAUGCUGCGAAGAACAUUUGUUUCUGUUCAGAAUGGAGUCUACACCGUGUAGGUAGGUGGUUGCCACGAGAAAACCUCUACUCCAGCCAUCUGGAACGACUUAAAACACCAAAAAGCACGAGAGAAAAGAACGAACCAUGGUCCUUCUCGAUGUCCUUUUCUUUGGCCUCGUGCCCUUUCCCUAUCUGCGUUCGGAGAUGUACGUGCACAGAAAGCGACGAGUCGGAUCUAAAAGAACGGUCAAUAUUUCCAUUGACAGUGUGGCUAGAUUAACUUGUAAAUGGGUGUAGAUUAACGUCUGGAUUAUGGAUUUGAUGUGAAACAAUGCCACCAGUCGCUGAAUGAGAGAAAAGGACAAUUUGAAAGUUGUCAUUUAGCAUAACCUACAUCAAUCUUUGGAUUAGACGGAUUUAGUCGAAUAACGCCACCAGUCGACUUGACGAAAAAUCCUUUCUUAUCCACAACUGCCAGCCUAAUUUAGGAAUUAUUACUCAAAUUUUUACUCAUGUUAUUUUCUAACAUUUUUGUUAAAGAUAAGUAAAAUGAAUGAGGUAAUUCACGUAUAGUCUAUUUACAUAUAUAUAAUAAAUACAAAUAUGAAAUAGGUUACAAACACAAUUAUAUGAAGUAUUUCCUUAAAUGAACCAAGAGCCAAAACUGGAGAUGGAAAUAAGUAUAGAUGCAAAAUGAAUGGAAAUAGAUAGAUUAGUAGGCCUCAUUGAUUCCGACAACGAGCCCCAAUUUCCAAGACAGAUUCAUACUAUUCAUACAGAAAAGAUUCAUACUAGCAUAUUUGGUGUCCUUCAAGGAAGAGGAAGGAACAGAGGAAGUCUAGAAGAUUCGUGAAGAAGACGGAAGGAGAGAGAGGCCGGAAAGAAGGUAGAGAAGGAAGAGAAGAACAUCAAAGAGAAGCGACAACGGAUACGCGUAAACCUUGAGCUGCGAAUGCCGAAAAACCGACAGAGGUUUGAAGUAACUGACGCGUUCUCGGGAAAACUCAUCAAAGAGCCGUGGAUGGAUAAAUGUAACCGCCCGUUUAGCGUGAAACCCCUCGCUAAUUUUAAUUGCUGCCUGAUUUACGUCUCGAUACGUUCCUUUUCGCUCUUCUAUUUUUUUCUUCUCUCUCCACUUCGUGCUACGAAGAUCCCCUACUCCCCAGUGCUUUUCGCACAUAUGGGUAGACGUAGACGUCGCAGCAAGGAACUCGUUCUGUGGCCGCGAACGCGACGGCUCCCGUGAAAAAAUGAUAAAUGCCUCGAAGACAAGCGGAUACGGAUUACUGUGAUUUGUCGGUACCACAGGGCGACGAUUUGUCACGGAAUUUAAUUACAGAUGCCGCGAGGAGUGGUCUAUGUGUUUACCUGACAUACGACCUCAUGCAACUGUGGUUAUAUGGUACAAGACAUAAAUCACAUGCUAUAGAAUUGUUCUCUAGUUCAAGUGUUUGUAGAUGUUAAACGAUACAAAAUUGAGAGGAAACAAGACAUAGAUACAUCGAAUUUUUAUGAAUUUUUCAGAAAGCUCAAAAACUACGGUCACUGAAUUAUUAAGGAAUGCAACUGUCAUGUGCUCUUAUUGAAUGAAAAAGACACAUAGACCUGAGAUGAACCUCUGUACAUAAUUGAAAGUAAAUGAAAUGGAAAAAAGGAGAAGAGAAAAAGCGAAUUCGUGUUGUGCACUGUCAAAAGGAGCAAGUCUCGUCGAUAUCUAAGUUUUAUCUGUUUUCUAGUUCAGGCAUAUAUAUUUCAGUACAGAACUAGAUUCCAUUUUCCUCGCACGGCAUUCUACCUUUCAUACGUACCCAAGGGAACACGGAAGCGACCUAAGUGCGGACGCAAUAUUCAGUUUGGUUUGAUGCCACAGUCCGUCACCCCUGCGGCUGUUUUCAGACAAAACAAAGAAACCCAUCCCCCCCCACGUCUAUAUUCCCUCGUUCCUGUCAUCGUUGUACUCCCUUCUCGUAGGGCGGUACUCUACCCCACCUAGCCAUCCUUUUCUUCGUCGACCUGCGCCUUUCUUCGAUCGUGGCACUCGGAAGUUUGGGGCUGCGGAAGCGGACAUUAGGGGAGACAGUAGCGUCAUUACCAUUGGCUCACCCCUAGACAUAUAAUUAUGAAAAUGAUGGGGUUUGGAGAACGAUGAGAGUAGAAGUGCCAUGUACUUUUUAUCGAAGUGAAGGAAGUGACUACUACGUUAGCAAGAACACGCAUAAGAAUUAGUAUAUUGAAACUAGAAUAUGAUUCUGGCAUGAAUAUUUAUGGGAAAGAGAAAUAUUCAGAUUUAUUUGGUGUUACGCAAAAUAUAGCGUCAAGUUGGAUUAUACUAUCCGAAGCAUGGAAUGUUUUAGCAAGAAAAUUUGUUUUUAGAAAAUAACACAUUCGUAUUAAAAUAUUUUGUGUUUGUGAAUGCGAUCAUAUUUUAUUUCAAUAUAUUGUAUUCUGUUUUCUUCAUCCUAAUAACCAUGCAUUGAAACAAACAUUUUCUAUAAAUACCACUUCUCACAAUUAUUAUGACGAAUUCAAAGAUCAAAGAAAUAAAACAUGAUCCGAUAAAAACUAUGGAAAAUAGUACUUCUAGGUAUUAUCGGUUUGACCGAGUUACCAAGGAUUUUCAAAUAUUCCCGAAGAAGGAAAGAAAGACAAGGAUCAGCUGUACUGUGCGAACGUCGCCGCAGAAUACUGUCUUCGGCAGACAGCGUGGCACCGAAGGUUCUCUAUCCUCGUUUUUUUCUCGGGCGUGGCAAUAAGGAAGUGGGCCCGCUGCUUAAGAAAACAGAGAGCCGCCAAUAUCGGGCAGGGCCUGCCGACUGCCUGAGAAAACAGUGAACCGUUUUCGGAAUCCUGUCAAGGAUACGGGGUGACUUAGCUUUCCAUCAUGAAUGAAAACCUCAAUGCUCGCAAGUUGUCACGAAAAACGCCGAAACGUUCCCCAAGCAACGGUUCAUCGCCCGGAUUAACGGAUGAAAGAAUUUACAUGAAAAUGAAGAGAUAAAAAAGCGUUGUAAUACAAGGUAUACAAUGAGAUCUGCACAAAAGAUGGACUUAUUGUCUCAUAAAAAAAUGCAAGCUAUCGUCUUUUCGGAAUGUUUGCCACAAGACAGCGUGGCACCAGUGGCCAGAAAAUCCGUCCCAACGCUCAGAGUAGGCGGUGACCGCUUAAUUAACGGCCUGACGAAAGGCAGCGGCAAUUAAUAUGAUACCAGCUUCCUUCCAGGCUCGGGACCAGCUUGCACGUGUGAAAAAUCCAAGGACAACAUUUAUUACAAUUUGUGACAUGAUAUUCUUACUGUGACCUUUUCAUCGCUGCAUUGUCGUAGCAUGUAAAACGAUAUGGACAUAAAGGGCACUAUCGACCACAUUAAUGGAAAACAAAUUAUAUUUUAUAUAGCAAGUGGCAAUACAUCUAAUCCUUCCUGAAGAUUUAAAGACUUUAUCAUAAAUUUUAUAGAUUCAAAUAGUCGAUAACUCUAUUUGCAAUUAAC